rnacentral:misc_RNA from 1 species
UUUCCGUAGGUGAACCUGCGGAAGGAUCAUUAAAGUUAUAGUCCCCCGGCCCCUCCGGGCUGGGGUCUUCUAUACCACCCUUUGUUUAUUACACCUUUGUUGCUUUGGCAGGCCUGCCCUCGGGCUGCUGGCUCCGGCCGGCUCGUGCCUGCCAGAGGACCUAAACUCUGUUUGUAUAUGAAGUCUGAGUACUAUAUAAUAGUAAAAACUUUCAACAACGGAUCUCUUGGUUCUG